CGGACGGGGGAGUAAUGUCUGGGAAACUGCCCGAUGGAGGGGGAUAACUACUGGAACGGUAGCUAAUACCGCAUAACGUCGCAAGACCAAAGAGGGGGACCUUCGGGCCUCUUGCCAUCGGAUGUGCCCAGAUGGGAUUAGCUAGUAGGUGGGGUAACGGCUCACCUAGGCGACGAUCCCUAGCUGGUCUGAGAGGAUGACCAGCCACACUGGAACUGAGACACGGUCCAG
rnacentral:rRNA from 1 species